CAGCUCUCUGGUCCCCCUGCUGAGGUUCCGUGGCCCUCCUUCCCUGAUCUGACCCUUCAGAAUGCUCUUCCGCCCCAGACUGGUGAUAGAGAGAGGGUCCCUGGGAGAGGGGUUGAGGACAGAGAAGGGGAGGGGGUGUAAGAGUGAGGCUGCAGUGAAGAACUUGGUGUCCAUAUGUCGCCAUUCAUGGAGCCUGCACGGUUUGUAUGAGGACCCCUGCGGGCAGAGCUGGGGACAGACCCCAGGAGUGGGGGGUUCUCUCUUCUUCCUUUUCAUUUGCACUUUCUGGGUCUUUUGGUCCUUAGGUUCCAGGCACAGCUUUCAAUGCCUCAGCCUCAACCCAACUCCUUUGGCCUGAGAUUUCCCUUCCUCUCUUCAUCCUUUCCAGGUUUAGAGGGAAGAUGAUGAAUUAAGUUUGUCCGUGUUGAGUGUUAGGUGCCUAUGAGACACCCAGUCAGACACAUGGAGGGAACCCUUAGGUGUCUGAGUCUGGAGUCCAGAGGAGAGACAAAUGUGGGACCCCCGCCUCCAUAGGGUGAUGAUGUGGACGGAGUUAUCUCCCGAGAAAGUAUGGAGGGAGGAGAUAUGAAGGGCUAGAACUGAGCCUUGAGGACCCUCAGGGUUUAAGGGUUGGGAAGGGAAGGAGGAGCCUGCACAGGAGAUAGGACAAGAGUGGGAGAAGUAGGAGGGCAAGGAGGAGAGGAUUGCGGGUGUCAUGUAUGCAGGGGGAAGAUUGUUCUAGAAGGAGGGAGAGUUAUAUGUUGCAGAGAGACUUAGUAUGAUAGGGAGUAAAAUGGUCACUGGAUUAAGCAACAUGGCAGUGAUUGGUGCCCUAAGUGUGAGCUGUUUUGGUGGAGUGAUGGACGAGGAACCUGGACUGGAGCUGGCUGAGGAGUGAGUGGGAGGCCAGGAAAUGGGGUCAGAGUGCAGACAACUCAGGGGAGGAGUUUAGCUCCGAAGGGGAGGAGAGCUUGUAAGAUGCCUCAUCCUCCCUCCCUCCUUCCUUCUCUUUUUCUUUCUUUUCUUACAUUCCCCCACCCCACCCUUGUCUGUCGUUUUGCCCCUGGCCUCCCUCCUCUUUCUUUCUCACGGGACUCUGCUUCUCUCACUGCAGCUCUUUUUCAGGGUGACAUUUUCGAACUUCCUCUUCUCAAAUGUCCACAUCCAGUCCCUGUCUUCACUUCGUUUUCUUCUAGAGCGAACCUUCAGUCCGUGCUCUUAAAGAGAAAGCUUCAUUUCUAGUCCUGCAGAUCCCGUCACGUUCUCCAGGACCUCCCAGGCCAAGAGGGGGAAACUGGGGCAGAGGAGCCAGGGAAGGAGCUGGGACAAGCUGGGAGAGAAGGGAUGGGGCAUGGUCCUUAGGUGGCGUUAGGACUCCCCAGGCCCACUCCAGCCCCACCAGGUUGCAGCCAGGUCCCAACUGAGAAUAAUGUGCUGGAUGGGGAUGUCGUCAGGCUUGGGGGCCACAGUCCUAGUGUCCACUCUUGUGAUCACAAAGCCCAUCUUUCCUGCUGACGUGUGAGCUCCCCAGGCAGGGACCUGUCAAGGUCAUCAUCAGAUCACUGGACCCAUUUGCAGUGUCUGAAGGCUGAGUCAAUUCUUGUUAAAGGCUGAAAAUCCUCAGCCACAGAUAUCUGGUGUCUUUCCUCGUCUACAUCAGCCACCAGUUCUUCCUCUGGGCAAACCUGGGAUUCUGGAGUUUCCUGGAUGGGAAGAGGAGAAAACCAAGGCCCAGAGAAGGGAAGUGACUUACUUAAAGUCACACAGCUGAGAUUCAGGGAUUAGAGGCCCCCUCUGCCUGCCACGUAGACUGAAGUCUUCAGCUGCAUCUUCUGCUGGGGAGAGGAAGAGCAGAAGGACACAGGCCCCUUGAGCCCAGAACUCUGCCAGGUCAGGCAGACCUGGGGAAGCAGUGGUGUUCCCUGUGUCCCCAGACCACUCUGGGCCUCAGUUUCCCCUCCCAAACAAGAGGCCCGUAAUUGGAGGGGGGCAUGACGGUGAAGCAAGUUGGAGCGGGCAAGAAGCCAGGGAGGCCACUGAAGCCACCCCCCUGCUUCCUCAGGACUGGAGGCAUCAUUCUCAGACCCAGGAAGGGAGGGCGCAGGACAUGCUCCUCUUCUCAGACGGUUCUCGAGAAAGGGAGUUUCCUGAAGGCCGGGCGGGGGCGUCUUCUGUUCUGUGGAGCCUUCAUCGCUGCUGCUUGUAGAGAGUGGGAUUUAUGGCCAGGAUGGCAGUGGAGAGGCACCUUGUCUCCCCUCCCUCAGGCACCUCUCAGUGACCUUUCCUUCAAUCCUGGCUCCAGGCUGCAGCCUCUCCGGGGCUCUGCCUCUUGACCUCCCGCCUUCCCCUCGCCUCCCCGCCCCCCAGGUCCUGGGUCCUCUCCAGCUGCCCCAGCUGAGCAGGGGGCUGUCCCGCUGCGGCUGCCUCUCCCCAAGGCGUUCCGGGCCUGUGAGUCAUCGGGAGUGCCUGCUCUGGCUGUAGCGUCUCCUCGCCGGCGUGGACCCUUUUUCCCAUCCUCCCCCAAACGAAGGGCAGAGGGAGCCCCUCCCAGGCAGGGGGCUCUGGAGGAGGGGGAGGGAGGCCCUGUGCAAGACAGCAAUGAGGCCCUGCUUCGCCAGUGCUGGGAGGAGAGGCUUAAAGGACUCCCCCAGACGCCACCUCACACAUCACACACAGAUCGAAUUUCUUGUCCUUUCUCCCAUUUCCCAGGUGGGGAAACAGGAGGGGCAGGUAGGGGAAGGCCAGGACUUUGGUGGGCUUAGGCUAAUCCUCUCCUCAGUUUUAGGGCUUCGCUUUGCCAGGCUGGGAAGCCCCCCAAGCUCUCUCUGGAAGGCCCUCCCCACAUUGGAGGCUGGGUCUGGCAAGAGAGCAAGAGAGAGGCCGCGGCCGCCGCCGAGGGCCCCAAGGACGACAGGGCCCGGCUGAGCUGGGGAGUCCGCGUCUGCAGGAAAGGAGGGGGCCGGCGCCUGGACCCUUCCCACAGGGCGCCCGCACCCUGCAAAGCUGCCUCCGGCCCCCUCCUCCCCUCCUUCUUCUCCUGGGCAGCCCUGUCUUGCCUCCUUCUCCAGCCUGAAGAAACAACUGGGGGUGGAGAGGAGCUGGAGGGGAAGGGCUGGAGUUAGAAAAGUUUCCAAUCCUCUCCUUUCGAAUGUGUCUGCUGCCCCCCACCUUCCUCCAUCUCCCUCUCAGCCCUGGAUUCGUUGUCUAGAGACCAGGGUCUAGGACCGGACUUGCCUAGUGACUUUGGGCCUUUUUUCACUUCCCACCGCUGAGUCUCAGUUUCCUCAUCUGUAAAAUCGGAGUCUGGACUGAAAAAGUCCCUGCUGGUGAGGUUGGUCUAUGGUUCUCUUCCCAGUCAGACACUCACACAUGCACUCACCUGUACCCACCAACUCACGUGGCUCUCUCUCACACACACCCAUUCACACACUCAGAUACACUCCCCUUUGCACGUGCACAUGGCCUCCUGCUUACUUUGGGCGCAGCAGUCCCCUGCAUCUCUGACAGCCGCUUUCUUCCCUCACUCCCAUCACACUGCCCCGGCCUUCCUGCCCCUUUGCACUCUCUCCUCCUGAUGUCACUGGCAGGGCAAGGGCAGGAAGGAGCAGUGAGAUAUGAGAUUUGAACCUCAGAAUGUCAGACCUCUGACCCUGCCAAAGACCACUCCCACCACCCCCUCAGGUCCCUUGGCUGUUCUGAGGUUCCGUGGGAGGGGGGAUGAGAAGGGAGAGGAGUGGAGAGAGGCUCCUUCUUCUCCCGCCCUGCGCCGCCCCCCCCCCCCCGCCCCCGCAGCCCCGGAGCUGAACUUCAUAAACAUUCACUUUCCAAAAUGUCUGUCCCUCCUGGGGCCUCCCUGGAAGCGUGAUUAUUUUCGCAGCUUGCACUGGCCAUGUUGCCCCAGGUUGCACCCUUCUAGGAACUCCUGCCUGAGGGAGACUGGUCAGAGCUUGGAAAGGACUGUUCCAGGGGAUGAGCUAUCUGUUGGCCGGGAAAGGCGUGGGAAUCGUGCAGCAGAGCACAGCCCUCAGGCCCAGCUCGACUUGGGAAUAACAGCAGAGUCUGUCCCAGGCUACGCCAUAAGCACACGUUUGAACUAAUGUUCUGCUCACAAAACCCUCGGAGGUGGGUGCUAUGAUUGUCUCCAAUUUCAGGAGAGGAAAGAGAGGCACAGAGAGGCUAAGUCAGUUGCCUGAAGUCACAAAGCCAGGACGUGGCUGAGCUGGGAUUCAGACUAAGGCAGCCUGGCUCCAGAGCUCACUGGCUUAACCACUCUUCUCGACAGGUCCUAGAGACCCAGGAUGGAUGCCAAGGGGCACUCCCCACAGUGUGAAGAAGUGGCUAUUUGCACAAACACAUAUACUUCAUCUGUGUGCAUGUAGGCUAAAAAUCAUAGCAUCACAUGGCUGGAAAUGGACCACAGGCACCAGCUGGAAAGGACUCUAGAGAUGCCAUCUCCCUCCCUCUGCCGAGGAACUAUUGUGAGCUGACAGCACCGCACACGUCAUCCCAUCUAACCCUCACAACAGCUCUGGGAGGUCAGUCUUAAUACCUCUAUUAAGAUGGAGGACCUGAGACCCAGAAGGGUCGAGGCAUUGCCCCAAACCCCCUUCCUAAAGCUCAGAGGGACCCACGUGCUCCAACAGCCUGAUCAGUCUUCUUUUUGUCACCUUCCGUGUCCCUUACUUGCAAAUCAACACAGCCACUAGACCACGUACAACACCGGGAAGAAUUACAGUCCUCAGUCGUGUCUCAAGAGGCCCUGACAACCCCCCAAGGAAGGUUUUAUACCCAUCCUGUAGGUGAGGGGAAGCCCCUUGCUGGGGACCCCCAGCGAGGAAGUGGGGAAGCUGUGAGUCUGGCCACAGAGUUAGCCCUCUUCGCAUCGCACUACACUACCCGCCUCCCACACUGUCCCCCAGCCCAGAAGCAACCCCCCAAACACACCACAUCCCCACCGAGCACACACACGUGCAUGUAAUAGACACAGGAAAAUGCUACCCAUGAUGCACCCCCGUGAUACAGGCUAAGAGUUACCUGGCAUUUUCUGUAUGCCAGGUAGUAGCUCACUGAAUGCCUCCAACAAUCCUAUGAUGUAGGUUCUGUUAACAUCCUUAUCCUCAUUUACAGAUGAGGAAACUGAGGCUCAGAGAGGUCAAGUAACUUGCUGAGGGUCACACAGGUAGGCAGUUGCAGAAGAGAUUUGAAUCCAGGCUCUCAGCACUAUGCUAUAGCCCAUCCUCUAUCCUGACUGGGUACUACCCAUUCAGUCAGUCAGCAGCCACUACUGAGAGACCUGUUGGGCCCAGCACUGUGCCAGGCCCUAGGCACACAGAGGUGAACAAAGUCCAGGUCCGCCUGGCCUCACCCACCUGCUCCUGCCAGUACUACAUGGUAGAUGGGGGCUAUGUCCACUCUCGCUCUCCUCCCUUCCCAGACAGCGUCCCCCGCAGUGACCUAGGACAUGUGAAUCUUGGUUCUGGUUUGCAUCUGACACCUAGUGAGGUGAUGCCAAAGCCUGGAUGGGAGCUCAGAGACAGGAAGAUGGAAAUGGAGUAGGCCAGCGGGGCGCCGGGGCUCGGGGAGGGGGCAGGGCCGAGGGUAGGGACGUCUCUGCUUCUAUCUAUUCUGUAUCUCUCUAGCUCAGGUCUUCUCCUGGCAUCUCUGGCUGAUUCUCUCCACAUCCGUCUCUCUGUGUGUACCUUUCUGUCUCCUGUCUUUCCCUGUCCCUUCACUGCUUGUCAGCUGCUAUCAGCCGCUGUGGAGACAAUGGAUAAGGGACUUGGGCACCCAUCAUCAGAGUGGACAUCCAUGUCUGAGCCGGACCCACUUCCAGGGCACCAUCAGCUCUGUCCCAGGACCCUUCUUAGUGGUCUUCUCUCUGCAAAGGACCACAGUCCUCCUUUUCUGAAGCCUUCUAGGCUCUUCCUGUCCAUUGUCCGAAGACCAGUCUUGAUAUCACCAGUCUGCAUGUCUAAGAUGUGACCUGCCUCCCUCUUCUCCCUGGGGGAGAAAGCAGUAUCCCUCCCAUUAAAGGUAGGAGUACGUCUCCUUGUUCAGACUUAGGGCUCCUUGAGGACAGGGACUGUGUCUCUCCACAAGAUUGGGGUUCCUUGAGGAUAUAACCUGUGUUUUCCCCAUCAGUGGUCCAUAGGUGUUGGAGGUCUCCAAGGAAGAAAGGAUGGAAUUAUUUUACUCAUAAAUUUGAAUUGCAAAAUUAAGACUUUCACUGCAAUCCCAUUAUGUUCUUAGUAACUGUCACAUUCUUCAACAUUGUACACGAUACAAGGUUUGAAUUCGGUUGAUCAAUCUUGGCAGUUUGUCUCAGGCAAUGUUUUUAAUACCCUUUAUGGGUUUUUGGUUAUGAAUUUGUGAUGUGUAGUGUCCUCAACUCAAAUAAGUUAGCGGUUCAAAAGUGGCUUAUUCAGCCGCAUAGCACAGGGAGAUCAGCUCGGUGCUUUGUGUCCACCUAGA